CCUGAUUGAUCCUGCAAGUAGCAUAUGCUUGUCUCAAAGAUGAAGCCAUGCACGUGUAAGUACACAUGGCCGGUACAGGGAAACUGCGAAUGGCUUAUUGAAUCAGUUAUGAUCCCUUUGAUCGCUCCAUCUGUUACUUGGAUAACUGUGGUAAUUCUAGAGCCAAUGCAUGCCGAUGAGCGCGGACCUCCCGGGAUGCGUGCAUUUAUCAGACCAAGACCAAUGCGGGGCCGAUCGCACGUCCCUGUGACGGCGACGAUGCAUUUGCAUGUCUACCCAUCAAAUUUCGAUGGUACUUUCUGUGCCUACCAUGGUGACCACGGUUAAUGUGGAAUCGGGGUUCGAUUCCGGAGAGGGAGCCUGAGAAACGGCUACCACAUCCCAGGAAGAUGGCAGGCACGCAAAUUACCCACUCCCGACUCCGGGAGGUAGUGACAAAAAUAUCAAUACAGCACUCUUUCGAGGCACUGUAAUUGGAAUGAGUACACUUUAAAUCCUUUUUCAAGUACCCAUUGAAGGGCAAGUCUGGUGCCAGCAGCCACAGUAAUUCCAGCUGCAAUGGCAUAUAUUAAUGUUGCUGCAGUUAAAAAGCUUGUAGUUAGAUCUUGGGAUCAAGCUGGUGGUUUGCCACGUGGCGAGCUACCGCCUGUCCCAGCCCCUGCCUCUCGGGCCCCUUGAUUCUCUUGAGUGAGUGUCCUGGGGAUCUGAAGCGUUUACUUUGCAAAAAUUAGAGUGUUCAAAGCAGGCCGGUUGCCUGAAUACUUCAGCUAGGAAUAAUGGAAUAGGACUCUGGUUCUAUUUUGUUGGUUUUCGGAACUGGGACAAUGAUUAAGAGGGACGGCCGGGGGCAUUAGUAUUGUGCCGCUACAGGUGAAAUUCUUGGACCGGCGCAAAAUGAACCAAAGCAUUAUCCAAGAAUGUUUUCAUUAAUCAAGAAUGAAAUUCUGAGGUUUGAAGACGAUCCAGUGCCGUCGUAGUUCUGACCAUAAACAAUGCCAACUACCGAUCGGGCGGCGUUAUUCCCCUGACCCGCCAAACAAGUUCUGGGAAAUCGGGGGAAGGGGCUGGUGGUGAAGGGGGGGAAUGGUUGCACAGCUGAAACUUAAAGGAAUUGACGAAAGGGCACCACCAGGAGAGGAGCCUGCGGCUUAAUUUGACUCCACACCGAAAAACUCGCCCGGCCCGGACACAAUUGACAGAUUGAUAGCUAUUUCUCAAUUCUUUGGGAGGUGGUGCAUUGCCGUUCUUGGUUGGUGGAGCAAUUUGUCUGGUUAAUUCCGAUAACGAACGAGACUCCUCCAUGCUAACUAGUUGCGUGACUCCCCCAGCUCCCCAGCGGUCUGCAUUCAACUUCUUAGAGGGAAAAGUGGCGUUCAGCCAGCCACACAAGAUUGAACAAUAACAGGUCUGUGAUGUCCUUAGAUGUCCGGGGCUGCACAAGCACUACACUGAAUGGAUCAGCGUGUGUCUACCCCUCGCCGACAGGAGCUGCUUACCUGCUGAACCCCGUUCAUAAAUUAUUUCCCAUGAAUGAGGAAUUCCCAGUAAAUGUGGGACAUAAUUAAGUCCUUGCCCUUUCAACACACCGCCCAUAUUUACUACCGAUUAGAUGGUUUAGUGAGGUCAUCGAUCGGCCCAGCCAGGGUCGGCAACGGCCCUGGCGGAGUGGCGAGAAGAUGAUCAAACUUGACUAUCUAGAGGAAGUAAGUCGUACGGAUUGAGUUAACCUACCGGUAACGU
rnacentral:rRNA from 1 species